AUGAGACCAGGUCUGGUGUGUGGCUUGUAAUGCCAGCUGCCUGGAAGGCUGAGGCAGAAAUAUCACAAAUUCAAGGAUAGACCCACCAACUUAGCAACUUAUUGAGAAACUCCUGAAAAAAAAGGAAGAUUUUUAAAAGUGGAAGGUAAUGGAGCUAAAUGCAAAAGAUCUGUACUCAAUCUCUAGAAACUGAAUGAAAAACCAAAACCAUAACCAAAACAAAACCUUGGAAAGUAGAAUGGGAGGGUAAAUGUUUUACACUGGCCUGGAUUUCUGGAGGGCAGUGUGCCCCAAGUAGCCUUAACUUUCACACCUUCCUUGGAAUUUGAUGUCAAUCAUUAAUUUCCAUGAGGGACCAGAGAAACAGAGAAUGUGUUUCAAGGACACCAAGCCUCAGUCCCAGUGCAGAAGUCAUUUGAAGUGAUCUCCUGAAGCGCAUGCUGAUCACAGUUGGAAAAGCAGAGAAUCCACAACCAUUGUUAAUGUGAUUUUCAGUCCUACUCACUGAAAGAAAGUACAGGUUAGUAAGGUGGCAGAUAGCUUAACUAGAUUGACUCUUUCUGCAAAGUGUCUAAAGAGCAAGGCUGAAACUUUUACUACACAAAUACACAAAAUUACUGCCAAUUACCAACUCAGGAUAAUGUAUGUAUACGUAUAUUCCCAGCUGUCUGGGAGGGAGAGGAAGAAUGAUGAAGGGUUUAAGCUUAGCCUGGAAUACUCAGGAAAUUAGUGAGAUCAUGGGUCAAAAUUUGUAAAAAAGCUAAAUAUUUUACAAAUGUAUGAUAAUAUUGAUCAUUAAGAAAUCAUAGGGCAAGGUACAUUAACCACUACUAUUCUACAAUCAUUUUUAUGUUUCCAUAGACUUAAAAGGAGUAUCCUUUUAAGGUCCUUAUUACUAUUUAAAAAAUAGAAAUCCCUUCAUCAAAUUCUGGUUCUAAAUAUAAAUUUAGGAAAGUACAAAAACAAUGAUCAUGAUGUUCUUACAGAGGUAGCCAAAUCCUUAGAGGGUAUAUUCAGUAGGGUAUCUGUAGUCAUCUCAGUAAAACAUUCAAAAACAUUGAAACAAAGCAAGUAGAUCAAUCUUUACAUGAUGGUAAACCUUAUGCUAGGUGUGCUGACUGAAGUACACUUGCAAGAAACCUCACAAAUAUUUAUAUUUUGAAUUCAUAGGCGAUUUUUGAAAUUUUAUUUAAAAAUUUUUUCUCUUAUUCUUUCUUUCUUUUUUUUCUUUCUUUUAUGCUUUGUUUUGAGAUAGGGUUCUGCUAUGCAGUUCAGGCUAGACUUGAUCUUCCCUUGUAGUCCAAGAUGACCUCAAAUUCCCAACAAUCCAUCUGCCUUCAGAGUACCGGAAUGACAGGUGUGCACCAACAACCCUGACUGUGUUUUCCUUUUUAAAUUUUCUCCAAAACAAAACUACAGAGUUAUGUGAUAUUCUUUUAUUUUCUCAAGUUGAUUAUACAAAAUUAAAUCAGAAAGCACUGAAAAUACACUGAGGGUGUUUCAAAAUCCUCACCAAAAAAUAACAUAAUGUAACAUAAAAUAGCAUAGCAUAUUAUAGCAUAAGAAAACAAAACAAAACAAAAAGCAACCACCUAACUCUGCUUUAAACAACUGCUUCAAAGACACUUUAAGAAUUUCUGAGUUGGCCAUACACCAGCAAUAUGAUUCAGUAAUUUCAUAUUUAAGUACUUUUUCUUGAAAAUAAAAGCCUGUAUCCACUCAAGCCUGUGUUAAAAAAUGGCUGUGGCAGGUGAAUUUCAAGUGCCGACCAUGGAAUAGAACAAAGGGCCAACAGCAGAUGGGUGACAAGUCACGAAGAAGUCACAUGUGGUUGGUUCAGCCCCAUAUUAGUGGUUUGUGGCAUCAGAGGGUGAGUCCAGGACUGAGACACUGCUUGAAUGAGACCAACCAAAGAGCAUCACAACUGAACAGGCACAGUGCCAUCACCUCUAGGAAAGGCAAACUACCCAGCAGGGACACAAAGCCAAUGGUCUGUUUGGGAUGCGAGGACAGGAAGUGAUAGCUGUAGGUAGGAGACAAGUUUGCCAGGAGUGAUACACAUAUGUCCUUCAUCAGCAUGGAGUGAUGAUGUCCACAGCCUGGCAAAGCCUCCCCUUGCACUCACCACCUGCUGUUUCCCCUCACAGGAUGUCAGAGUACAGAGCACUACAGUGUGUGGUUGAGGUAAACAUCUAAGGAUGAGUAAGUAAUCAUUCAUAGGCACGUGAGAGUAAAACUUGCUAUGAAUCCUCCUUCCCUGGACAGACAGGGGUUAUAACAUGAAACAUUCACAUCCUUAAAAAAAUUAUUAUGGGUGUUCUAGGAGCAUCUCCAUGCUCACUAUUGGAAUUGAAAUGAAACUAUCAUAAGCCCAGAAAAGAAAGUCCUCGGAAAAUGUGACAGAUCUGUCAGUGAAGACAGUGAACAACUCAUACUCAGAGAGAAUGGACACUUUGGAUGGAAAUGUGUGCUUGGCACAAUGCCUGCCACAUCUGAAGCAUCUACAUGUUUGCUGCAUUAAAAACUUCAAAGUGUAAAACCACACACAGUUUUCUAGUUUUUCACUUUGCUGUUUCUAAGGUGAACACAGAUUUGUUCCACAAUAAAAAGACAAGGGUCAUCAGAGGGGGAGGCCCAGCUAUGGACACCAGCCUGUGACCUCAUUUCUUUGGCAACAGGCCUUAACAGAACUCUGAAGGCUCUGGUCACGAGGCACCUUGGUGUGGCGACAGCCUUCACAGGCGCAUAGCUCAAUAGAGUGACCAGUGUAUAUGCUGUGCUGCUUUCCCAUGCCUAGAAGCCUCAGCCGGACCCCACAUGAGAAAAUCACCUGGGAAUAAGUGAAAGGAUGGUUCACUUGGCCCAGAUGCUUCAGGAUGCUCUCAGAGAACUGCCCAACAGACAAGUCAGCACUGGGCAGGGCUCACUGGCCCAAGGCCCCUGGUGCCCAGACACAAGAGGGACCCCAGGACAGAUGUCCCUAGGCUUGGCCACCAGCCACUCAGAUAUACUGAAUCCAGACAUGUCUCUUUAGGCCUGGCCACCACUGUGAGUCCCCCUAAACAAUUCCUGCCUAGGUCAUCAGUCUGAGGGAGGUUGAGGAGAGGCACUGAGGGCAGAUUCUCCUGGGUAGGGGCAGGUACUGGGAAUCUCUGAGCAUGGGUCACUGUCAUGUUCUUACCCAUAGAACAAGGCUGGCAGGAGGAAAAGGGCAGUGCCCAUGUUUAUCCACAGCCUCCAUAAACAUCUCCUAUGGUUCUGGGUAGAAGUCUGGGACAGAGCUGUCUGUCUUUGAGGAACAUAAGAUUAUCUAGAUUAACAACAUAAAACCUGUGGUGUCUCAGAGCCUCAGGCUUCCUCCAGGCUGCUGGGCACUGCUGCUACAGUGCUGCACACAGACCAUUGGCCUGGAGCUCUUCCCUGGGCCCUGUGUGCCAUGUCCCUGCUCCAGAUACUGGGACCCACAAUUACAAUAGGUAUGGGCUCCGGUGCAGGGUGUGUGAGCAGAAGGGACUGUAAGGAGGCCCACAGAUGACUGAGAGGAACUUUGGGCACAUCGCUCCAGGGCUUGUCAAACACUGGGUCCAUAGUCCUGCUACCAAGGAAGCUGGACUCCCAGUGCUCAGCUACCAUAUCCUCUCUACUCAGUCUCUAUCUUGUCACAGACAAGAUCACUCUCCACAUGUUGGUAGAAGCAGGAGAAAGGGACAUAGAAACAAAGUCACUUCAUUUAUUGUCAUGAUUGAAUUCUACCAUUGCACCUCAUUGUCAGUCCUGGGCCUGGUGUCCAUGGACCAUUAGCUGGCUGUCUUUCCACCCUGUCUCAAGCUCUUACAUAUCAUCACCUCAUCAGAGACGUGUUCACCUCAAACGUCAGUCCACUCUGUUGAUUUAUCUGGCACUUGUGUCACAGAAUUUUUUUCAGGCACCGCAGUUCCUAUUGCAGGAGCCUCUGGGCUAAAUGAGAACAAGAGAGCAGUGAACACAGCUGCUCACCUUCCAUGGCUAUGGAAGAGGAACUUAAUUCCUUCAUGGGACAUUUCAUCAGAAACCUGAGGAGCAUUCUGUGGGCCUCAUUAGUGAACUUGGACAUCCAGAAUGAGCCUCUGUUUUCUCAUGUCUAAAAUGGGGACCAUCUUAUUACUCAUAGUUUUGUUCAUGCAUAGAGUUCUAUUCAGCCUCUCCUCUAUCAAGGUGAACUGAGCAUGCUAGUAUUCCUAAGUGUCCCUCAUGAAAGGUAACUUUCAAUAUGAAAUUCCCCUUUCUGUUGGGGUCCUCCUGUGAGCCUUGUACCAUGAAGCCCUGUGGACCAUUUAGAGUGUGGGCUUUGCUUCAGCCGCAAACCCCCGAGAUGCCAUGUGCAGGACAUCAAUUCCAUGUCUCCCCACUAUCUCACCACAGAUGGGAACUCAGUCACCAGAGAACCUGGCAGAGGUCUGUAUGGCAAGCCUGGUGCAGGCAGAUGGGCCUCACAGCCUGAGGAAGCCUCUGGAGCCAGCUUUCCUGGACAGCUGGCCCAGCUCCAGCCACUUCUCUCUGGACUUUUCUAGGGCUGAAUUCUCAGCCCCAGAGGCACCAAAGCUGAGGUCCACCUCUUCUGUGCUUGACUCUGCAUUGGAACUCUACUCACAUGUGGAUCCCCAGGCUGAGCUUCUCCUAGACCAGCUAGAGACUCCUGAACCCCCCAAGGCUGAGACCCUAGGGAAACUGCCCCACAGAUCUGAAUUGACCUGCAGGCCGGGUCAAGUGGCGCCUGUCAUGAGGCUCUUGGCAUGAAGGGCUCAAUGAGGGAGCCAUCCUGAGACACACGCAUUGAAGUGAAACUAAAAGUUUUGUGAC